AGCGAACGCUGGCGGCAGGCUUAACACAUGCAAGUCGAACGGGCGUAGCAAUACGUCAGUGACAGACGGGUGAGUAACGCGUGGGAACGUACCUUUUGGUUCGGAACAACCCAGGGAAACUUGGGCUAAUACCGGAUAAGCCCUUACGGGGAAAGAUUUAUCGCCGAAAGAUCGGCCCGCGUCUGAUUAGCUUGUUGGUGAGGUAACGGCUCACCAAGGCGACGAUCAGUAGCUGGUCUGAGAGGAUGAUCAGCCACAUUGGGACUGAGACACGGCCCAAACUCCUACGGGAGGCAGCAGUGGGGAAGUAUUGGACAAUGGGCGGCAAGCCUGAUCCAGCCAUGCCGCGUGAGUGAUGAAGG
rnacentral:rRNA from 1 species